rnacentral:rRNA from 1 species
UACGAAGGGGGGCUAGCGUUGCUCGGAAUCACUGGGCGUAAAGGGUGCGUAGGCGGGUCUUAAGUCAGGGGUGAAAUCCUGGAGCUCAACUCCAGAACUGCCUUUGAUACUGAAGAUCUUGAGUUCGGGAGAGGUGAGUGGAACUGCGAGUGUAGAGGUGAAAAUUCGUAGAUAUUCGCAAGAACACCAGUGGCGAAGGCGGCUCACUGGCCCGAUACUGACGCUGAGGCACGAAAGCGUGGGGAGCAA